AUGAAGGAGAAGACCAAAUUGUCUAUGUACAGGAUUUUGACUUUGGGGUAUAAGAGAUGUGGAUUUAUUGGAAAUCUAGAAAUGCAAGCUCCCUCUCAAAAUCAAACAUUUUCUUUUCCUGGUUGGGAAGGGGAGAAAUGGGGCGUCCUGCUAGGAAAUGAGGAGCAAGCAGUGCUGGGAGGGUGGUGUGAGGCGAUUCUGAAGAAGCUUAUAAUCAACUUAGAGUUAGAACUUUGCCUGCAACUCUGUGAAUGUUCCCAAUCGACCAUAGUGUGUGGUGUGUGUUGUGGUGGGUUUCUGUUUUCCUGCUAUGCCGAAUGUUUGUAAGCUGAAAAUC
rnacentral:lncRNA from 1 species